rnacentral:rRNA from 1 species
AGCGAACGCUGGCGGCAGGCUUAACACAUGCAAGUCGAGCGGGCAUCCUUGUGGUGUCCGCGGCAGACGGGUGAGUAACGCGUGGGAACGUGCCCUUCGGUUCGGAAUAACUCAGGGAAACUUGAGCUAAUACCGGAUACGUGCGAGAGCAGAAAGGUUUAUCUGCCGAAGGAUCGGCCCGCGUCUGAUUAGCUAGUUGGUGAGGUUAUGGCUCACCAAGGCGACGAUCAGUAGCUGGUCUGAGAGGAUGAUCAGCCACACUGGGACUGAGACACGGCCCAGACUCCUACGGGAGGCAGCAGUGGGGAAUAUUGGACAAUGGGGGCAACCCUGAUCCAGCCAUGCCGCGUGAGUGAUGACGGCCUUAGGGUGGUAAAGCUCUUUUCGUCGGGACGAUAAUGACGGUACCGGAGGAAGAAGCCCCGGCUAACUUCGU